ACAACAGUUGGAAACGACUGCUAAUACCGCAUAAGCCCACGACCCCGCAUCGGGAAGAGGGAAAAGGAGCAAUCCGCUUUGAGAUGGCCUCGCGUCCGAUUAGCUAGUUGGUGAGGUAACGGCCCACCAAGGCGACGAUCGGUAGCCGGACUGAGAGGUUGAACGGCCACAUUGGGACUGAGACACGGCCCAGACUCCUACGGGAGGCAGCAGUGGGGAAUAUUGCACAAUGGGGGAGACCCUGAUGCAGCGACGCCGCGUGGAGGAAGAAGGUCUUCGGAUUGUAAACUCCUGUUGUUGAGGAAGAUAAUGACGGUACUCAACAAGGAAGUGACGGCUAACUACGUGCCAGCAGCCGCGGUAAAACGUAGGUCACAAGCGUUGUCCGGAAUUACUGGGUGUAAAGGGAGCGCAGGCGGGCGAUCAAGUUGGAAGUGAAAUCCAUGGGCUCAACCCAUGAACUGCUUUCAAAACUGGUCGUCUUGAGUAGUGCAGAGGUAGGCGGAAUUCCCGGUGUAGCGGUGGAAUGCGUAGAUAUCGGGAGGAACACCAGUGGCGAAGGCGGCCUACUGGGCACCAACUGACGCUGAGGCUCGAAAGUGUGGGUAGCAAACAGGAUUAGAUACCCUGGUAGUCCACACCGUAAAC
rnacentral:rRNA from 1 species